UACAGAGGUCCCGAGCGUUGUUCGGAAUUACUGGGCGUAAAGGGUGCGUAGGCGGCCUUCUAAGUCGAACGUGAAAUCCCCGGGCUCAACCCGGGAACUGCGUCCGAUACUGGAAGGCUUGAAUCCGGGAGAGGGAUGUGGAAUUCCAGGUGUAGCGGUGAAAUGCGUAGAUAUCUGGAGGAAUACCGGUGGCGAAGGCGGCUACCUGGCCCAACAUUGACACUGAGACCCGAAAGCGUGGGGAUCAAACAGG
rnacentral:rRNA from 1 species